rnacentral:rRNA from 1 species
GACAAGUCGAACGCACAUUGGCUGGCCCGAAACCCUGGCGUUUCGGGUCACGUACAUCCGAGGGUCG